CCUACGGGAGGCAGCAGUGAGGAAUAUUGCGCAAUGGAGGCAACUCUGACGCAGCCAUGCCGCGUGCAGGAAGACGGCCCUACGGGUUGUAAACUGCUUUUAUCCGGGAAGAAACCCCAGGACGUGUCCCUGGGUUGACGGUACCGGAGGAAUAAGCACCGGCUAACUCCGUGC
rnacentral:rRNA from 1 species